GGCGCUGUGGCUGAGUGGUUAAAGCGAUAGACUAGAAUUCGGGAGCGCAGGUUCGAGUCCUGCCGGCGUCG
rnacentral:tRNA from 1 species